rnacentral:lncRNA from 1 species
UUAAUUCCUCUCCUCUCUCAAGAGUAAAAUGGAGACUAGACUUUCUUUCAAGAUCAAGAAUCAAUCUCGUAAGUCCAAGAUUUCCAAAGAACAAAUCAAGAUUCAAGUUCUACUCUUCAAACCUUAUAAUCUAAGCGACGUAGGAUUUUCCUAAAUCUACAUAGGUAUGAUAUAUUCUUAUUAAUCAUGUUAAAGGUUUAGAAAUUAGGAAUUUCCAAAAAGGGGGUUUUGAAUUUAUAAUUAGAUUCAUGCUUUUAAGGUUUUUGAUGAUAUUAAUUUGGUCUUGAGGCCUUUCCCCCAAAUCUGAUUUAUAACCAUGUUUAAGUAGAUAUAUGUAUGAGUUUGAUGAGUUUGAAUUAUGAAUUGAGAGGAUGAACUAUUUGAAAUCCCUCUCUUAUUUACGAGUCUCUUAACUUCGUAAGAUAUGAUGUGUUCGAAAUGUGAUAUUGGAAAUAUAAUUCAAUAUAAAAGCCUUGACUUUGUUUAUGACUUGAUUAUGAUUUUUGAAUUGAAAUAUACACACACUUAUGAAAAGAAAUUUCAGGGGUUGUUGAAGCUCAUGACCACCAUAUGUUUGUUGAAAUGAUUCAAAAGAAUGACCUUUGCAUAAUUUGAUAAAUGUUUUGGAAGAAUGAAUCCUUCGGAAUUGUUUGAAGUAUGGUGGUCUAACCUUUGUAUUUUGAAAGAGAAAACUGUAAUGGAUAUUUUAUGGCUCAGAAUUAUGACUUGCAAGUCAUGGUAUGACGAUACCAAAUCAGAUAAAGUCAUGAUAACACUCAGAACAGGAUACAAAUUCAAAAAGAUGCAUGUUUAGAAUGGGUUAAAAACUGGGCAAUAAGAGAGUUGGUGGUUACCCGAAUAAGGCACGAGUCAUAUGAUUCAUUUCCUGAAAUCGUAUUUUGCCGAUACGGGUAUAUUAUUUCACACUAGCCUAGUGCCUUGGAGCAUAUUAGAUUCAGAUACUUUAACCCUUGCAGAAAACUUGGGUUAGAGGCUUCGCCGCUGAGUUAAUGGUAGAUCUCAUAUUGCUCGUGGGAAACAUUCAGAUAUGUAGGGUGUACCACUUACCUCAGAAGUAAAAAAAUAAAGAAUGGUUUUACAUCUACAUAUUUGCAUUGAAUGAUUAUUUUAGGUUGCCCAUGUAUUUUAAAUUAUUUCUUGCUUAACAUUUUAAUGAAAUACUCUCACCUAUGCUGUAUAUAAAAGUACAUUAUUUUGGAUUGCUUUGCGUAUCAGUACAUCUGUAUUAACCCCCUCUCCAUCUCAGGAUCUGAGGCACAGUGUCGGGGUCCAGUUCAGCAACAGGUUUGAGUGCGUCGGAAAUUGCAAUUGGUGAGCCUCCCUUACAUUGGAAGGCCUAUAUUAGAACUUGUUAUUGUUAUUUCAUUUUGAUUCAUGGCCCGACUGGGGGCUUAUCCCAAAUGUUAGACAAAUGUCAUUUUCAGUUGUUAGAGAUUUCGCAGACUGAUGUUAGACGUUGUUUAGAGGUUUAUAUUUUCCAUUCCAGAUUGUUCGAUUGAAUUAUGAUAUCGACCAUGAUUCCAUUUUGUUUUGUAUUUCCGCAGUUCCUCUUUGUAAAUGAAUGGUCUAUAUGAUUGCAAGUUAGAAGGGGUCAUGUUUCGGGAUCCCCGUCACGGCCAGGGCCCCGGUUCGGAUUGUGACAGUUCCUUAUCUAGAGUUUGACGAACCUUUUGUAGGAUGUGAAAACAUAUUAUGUUUUUAUAUAAUUGAG